GACGUAGGAUGCGAGCGUUGUCCGGAUUUAUUGGGCGUAAAGAGUUCGUAGGCGGUUCGUUAAGUCUGGUGUAAAAGACUGGGGCUCAACCCUGGGAUCGCACUGGAUACUGGCGGACUUGAGUGUGGUAGAGGCAAGUGGAAUUCCCAGUGUAGCGGUGAAAUGCGUAGAUAUUGGGAAGAACACCGGUGGCGCAAGCGACUUGCUGGGCCAUAACUGACACUGAGGAACGAAAGCUAGGGGAGCGAACAGG
rnacentral:rRNA from 1 species